rnacentral:rRNA from 1 species
CGCGGCCUAUCAGCUUGUUGGUGAGGUAACGGCUCACCAAGGCAUCGACGGGUAGCUGGUCUGAGAGGACGAUCAGCCACACUGGGACUGAGACACGGCCCAGACUCCUACGGGAGGCAGCAGUAGGGAAUAUUGCACAAUGGGCGAAAGCCUGAUGCAGCAACGCCGCGUGAGGGACGACGGCCUUCGGGUUGUAAUCCUCUUUUAGCAGGAAAGAAGCGAAAGUGACGGUACCUGCAGAAAAAGCGCCGGCUAACUACGUGCCAGCAGCCGCGGUAAUACGUAGGGCGCAAGCGUUAUCCGGAAUUAUUGGGCGUAAAGAGCUCGUAGGCGGUCUGUCGCGUCUGCUGUGAAAACCCGAGGCUCAACCUCGGGCCUGCAGUGGGUACGGGCAGACUAGAGUGCGGUAGGGGAGAUUGGAAUUCCUGGUGUAGCGGUGGAAUGCGCAGAUAUCAGGAGGAACACCGAUGGCGAAGGCAGAUCUCUGGGCCGUAACUGACGCUGAGGAGCGAAAGGGUGGGGAGCAAACAGGCUUAGAUACCCUGGUAGUCCACCCCGUAAACGUUGGGAACUAGUUGUGGGGUCCAUUCCACGGAUUCCGUGACGCAGCUAACGCAUUAAGUUCCCCGCCUGGGGAGUACGG